UUCCAUUACAAAAAGCAAUUUUACAUCAGUGAGGAACCCAUACAUGAUUAGCUAUCUUUUUAAGAGGUUUAUUUUCCAGUAAUGCUGGUUUACCAGUGUGAUCUCAGGCACCCACAUUCCUGCAUUUGGCUCUAGAUUGCCUCUUCCUCAGUGAAGCUGUUGAAGGAGAAGAUGACUAAGAAAGAAAGGUCUUCACUCAAGUUUCCGAAUCAGUACAGUGUUCACAAGACUUUAUCACCCCUUUGUACAUCUUCCUCAGUUAUUCGGGAAAGGGAAAUGCCUUCUAGCCUCUGCAAGACAUCAUGUAAUGAAGUACCUCAAGGACACUUACACUCACAAGAAUUAAGCGGUAAUAAUAGAUUCUAGAACUUCUUGAAUAAAUUACCUGAUUGUGUACA